rnacentral:rRNA from 1 species
GACGAACGCUGGCGGCGUGCUUAACACAUGCAAGUCGAACGGAAAGGCCCUGCUUUUGUGGGGUGCUCGAGUGGCGAACGGGUGAGCAACACGUGAGUAACCUGCCCUUGACUUUGGGAUAACUUCAGGAAACUGGGGCUAAUACCGGAUAGGAGCUCCUGCUGCAUGGUGGGGGUUGGAAAGUUUCGGCGGUUGGGGAUGGACUCGCGGCUUAUCAGCUUGUUGGUGGGGUAGUGGCUUACCAAGGCUUUGACGGGUAGCCGGCCUGAGAGGGUGACCGGCCACAGUGGGACUGAGAUACGGCCCAGACUCCUACGGGAGGCAGCAGUGGGGAAUAUUGCACAAUGGGCGGAAGCCUGAUGCAGCAACGCCGCGUGCGGGAUGACGGCCUUCGGGUUGUAAACCGCUUUCGCCUGUGACGAAGCGUGAGUGACGGUAAUGGGUAAAGAAGCACCGGCUAACUACGUG